rnacentral:rRNA from 1 species
AUGGGGGCAACCCUGAUCCAGCCAUCCCGCGUGUGCGAUGAAGGCCUUCGGGUUGUAAAGCACUUUUGGCAGGAAAGAAACGGCUCUGGAUAAUACCUGGGGCAACUGACGGUACCUGCAGAAUAAGCACCGGCUAACUACGUGCCAGCAGCCGCGGUAAUACGUAGGGUGCAAGCGUUAAUCGGAAUUACUGGGCGUAAAGCGUGCGCAGGCGGUUCGGAAAGAAAGAUGUGAAAUCCCAGAGCUUAACUUUGGAACUGCAUUUUUAACUACCGGGCUAGAGUGUGUCAGAGGGAGGUGGAAUUCCGCGUGUAGCAGUGAAAUGCGUAGAGAUGCGGAGGAACACCGAUGGCGAAGGCAGCCUCCUGGGAUAACACUGACGCUCAUGCACGAAAGCGUGGGGAGCAAACAGGAUUAGAUACCCUGGUAGUCCACGCCCUAAACGAUGUCAACUAGCUGUUGGGGGCUUCGGCCCUUGGUAGCGCAGCUAACGCGUGAAGUUGACCGCCUGGG